GACGAGGGGUCCUAGCGUUGUUCGGAAUCACUGGGCGUAAAGCGUAUGUAGGCGGCUUUUCAAGUCAGGUGUGAAAUCCCAUGGCUUAACCAUGGAACUGCAUUUGAAACUGUAAAGCUUGAGUAUUGGAGAGGAUGGUAGAAUUCCUGGUGUAGUGGUGAAAUACGUAGAUAUCAGGAGGAAUACCGGUGGCGAAGGCGGCAUCCUGGACCAACACUGACGCUGAGGAGCGAAAGCCAGGGGAGCAAACGGG
rnacentral:rRNA from 1 species